ACUAAAUUAUAAAAAUAAACUCGUAUAAUCUUGGAAAUAUGGUCCAAGAGUUUCUACAAACUAACCACUUUAAUUAGUUCGUCUACGGGAAUAGAUACGUACAGA
rnacentral:ncRNA from 2 species